AUUGAACGCUGGCGGCAGGCCUAACACAUGCAAGUCGAACGGUAACAGGAAGACGCUUGCUUCUUUGCUGACGAGUGGCGGACGGGUGAGUAAUGUCUGGGAAACUGCCUGAUGGAGGGGGAUAACUACUGGAAACGGUAGCUAAUACCGCAUAACGUCGCAAGACCAAAGAGGGGGACCUUCGGGCCUCUUGCCAUCGGAUGUGCCCAGAUGGGAUUAGCUAGUAGGUGGGGUAACGGCUCACCUAGGCGACGAUCCCUAGCUGGUCUGAGAGGAUGACCAGCCACACUGGAACUGAGACACGGUCCAGACUCCGACGGGAGGCAGCAGUGGGGAAUAUUGCACAAUGGGCGCAAGCCUGAUGCAGCCAUGCCGCGUGUAUGAAGAAGGCCUUCGGGUUGUAAAGUACUUUCAGCGGGGAGGAAGGGAGUAAAGUUAAUACCUUUGCUCAUUGACGUUACCCGCAGAAGAAGCACCGGCGAACUCCGU
rnacentral:rRNA from 1 species